UACGUAGGGUGCAAGCGUUGUUCGGAUUCACUGGGCGUAAAGGGUGCGUAGGCGGUCGGGUAAGUCUGGCGUGAAAUCUCCAAGCCUAACUUGGAAACUGCGUUGGAUACUAUCCGGCUCGAGGAAUGGAGGGGAGACUGGAAUACUUGGUGUAGCAGUGAAAUGCGUAGAUAUCAAGUGGAACACCAGUGGCGAAGGCGAGUCUCUGGACAUUUCCUGACGCUGAGGCACGAAAGCGUGGGGAGCAAACAGG
rnacentral:rRNA from 1 species